rnacentral:lncRNA from 1 species
CCUUCCCGGCGGCUCCUCGCGGAGACAACCGGAGCGGCGGCCGUAAAUCACGGAGACGCGCAGCGGAGGGAUAAAGAGCGAGGAAGAAAUCUGUGGUGCCUGAAGAAAGGAGAAUAAAAAGAGCCAGACUAGGGAAAAAACCACGGAGCUGGCGUUCGCCUCGAAGCGAUGCGAGGUAAAUAGAGGCAUGAGUGAAGCGACACCCUGACCCUGCCUUUUCUUCCCUAAAUAUGAUCCCCCUCUUCCCUAAAUAUCAUCCCCUCUUCCCACCCUACGCACGCCACGAAAUGACCGUUAAUUCAAACCCUUUCUUUAAAGACAGGGGGAUUAUCGCUGCCUGUGACCGACUCUCCCUGCGCCUCUUUCUCUCUUCCACCGGACCAAAAUCAGAAUCGCGGUUGAAAAAGGGAAGAAAGGAAGGAAGGGGAAGGAGCGGAUGGUUAUUAUUUGUGCCUGUGCGGGGUGAUGGUACCGCUGCAGGAGCGUCUGUGAGGCCUCGCGAAGAGGCGAUACCUGCCGGUUCUUCCUUCCCUCCUCCCCAUCAGGUACAUCAUGGCUCAUACUUCGUACCGUCAUAUAACACAUAA